rnacentral:rRNA from 1 species
CGCUGGCGGCGUGCCUAACACAUGCAAGUCGAACGGAACUGUUAUGAUUGAUUCUUCGGAUGAAAGAGUUUCAGUUUAGUGGCGGACGGGUGAGUAACGCGUGAGUAACCUGCCUCUGAGAGGGGAAUAACGUUCUGAAAAGAACGCUAAUACCGCAUAACAUAGCGGAGUCGCAUGGCUCUGCUAUCAAAGAUUUAUCGCUCGGAGAUGGACUCGCGUCCGAUUAGUUAGUUGGUGAGGUAACGGCUCACCAAGACCGCGAUCGGUAGCCGGACUGAGAGGUUGAACGGCCACAUUGGGACUGAGACACGGCCCAGACUCCUACGGGAGGCAGCAGUGGGGGAUAUUGCGCAAUGGGGGCAACCCUGACGCAGCAACGCCGCGUGAAGGAUGAAGGUUUUCGGAUUGUAAACUUCUUUUAUCAGGGACGAACUUUGACGGUACCUGAUGAAUAAGCUCCGGCUAACUACGUGCC